rnacentral:rRNA from 1 species
AGAGUUUGAUCCUGGCUCAGAGCGAACGCUGGCGGCAUGCUUAACACAUGCAAGUCGCACGGGCAGGGCAACCUGUCAGUGGCGGACGGGUGAGUAACGCGUAGGUAUCUGUCCAUGGGUGGGGGAUAACUGUGGGAAACUACAGCUAAUACCGCAUGACACCUGAGGGUCAAAGGCGCGAGUCGCCUGUGGAGGAGCCU